AGCUUUGCACAGUGGCAGUAGCCAAUGAGGUUUAUCCAAGGCGCAAUUAUUGCUAAUUGAAAACUUUUCCCAAUACCCCACCGUGAUGACUUGCAAUACAGUCGGCACUGGCAAUUUUUGACAGUCUCUACAGAGA
ensembl:snRNA U4 U4 spliceosomal RNA